GGGCCCGUUGUCCAAUGGCCAAGAUACGUCCCUUGCACGGAUGAGAUCCGGGUUCGACUCCCGGCGGGUCCA
rnacentral:tRNA from 1 species